rnacentral:rRNA from 1 species
GAGUUUGAUCCUGGCUCAGAAUCAACGCUGGCGGCGUGCCUAACACAUGCAAGUCGAGCGAGAAAAGGUAGCAAUACCCUAGUAAAGCGGCGCACGGGUGAGUAACACGUGGAUAACCUGCCUCGAAGUGGGGAAUAACACCGGGAAACCGGUGCUAAUACCCGCAUAAUCUGACGAGAUCUGUGGAUUUUGUCAGCAAAGGAGCAAUUCGCUUUGAGAGGGGUCCGCGGCUGAUUAGCUAGUUGGUGAGGUAAUGGCUCACCAAGGCCACGAUCAGUAGCCGGUCUGAGAGGACGGUCGGCCACACUGGAACUGAGACACGGUCCAGACUCCUACGGGAGGCAGCAGUGGGGAAUUUUUCGCAAUGGGGGCAACCCUGACGAAGCAACGCCGCGUGGGUGAUGAAGUAUUUCGGUACGUAAAACCCUUUCGACGGGGACGAAACCGCAAGGUUGACGGUACCCGUAGAAGAAGCCCCGGCUAACUCCGUGCCAGCAGCCGCAGU